GGACACUUCUCUUCCCUUACUGUGCUCUCCCCUUGCCUCUAAAUACCGUAUUCUAAAUCAGUGAUGGGCCAAAAAGUCCCUGUUGUCAGGGAGACACACUGCAGUUCUACUGAUCCAGCUAGACCCGACCCGCUCGCUCCUGAAGACAUCUUUCCCUGGACAUCACAUGCAUUUAGGCCUAACUGCAGUCCCCUUUUCCUCCCUCCCCAAUGCACCACUAAAGAAAUGCUUGAACAAUUCUUAGACAACAAAAUUAAAAAAAAAAAUCCAAAGUUGGACAUAAUAAAGAAAAAUAAUUUUUAAAUAAAAUGAAGGAGAAGGAUGCCAGAGAUCACACAGGUCAAUUUGGGGUAUGGUAAUGGUGUGCCCAGAAAGGAAGAGGGAGGCAAAGACAGCUGUUCUUACAAUGAAGGAAGAAAUGUUGAGAGAGAUGUUAUGGCAUGAAAAUCACUUGGCCUAGCAUUAGCAUGACUUGGUUGGCACCUGUCGCCCCAGUAUAAUUAGUAAUAAUGCUCCCUUUCCCUCUCAAAGUAUGCCGAUUUGGACAAUAAAUGAUAAGGUCAUCCUAAAUAUUCUGCAUAUAUUCUCAGAGGGCUUUUUGUUACCAGAGAGUGAAAAAGGAAACCGAAAGGUGAGCCUUUGCUCUAGGACACACUUCCCUAAAGAAUGGAUACUUCAUACCACUCUCCUUCCAUUCCACUCCAAAACUGUGUUUCUUAGCCCACGUCCCAGUAUGGGAAGGCUCACAGUCUGUUUCCUAGACUCAGUCUUCUUCCUGUUAGAUCCCUUGCAGUCCAUCCCAAGCAGGGAGCCAUGAGUGCCACAUGUCAAAGGCCAAAACACAGCAGGUGACAAUAAAGAUAAAUUCAAGGAAAACAGGCCACUAGCUGGAUGCUGUAUCUGAGUCUAUGAAUAUGGGUUAGUUCCUUGAGACUCACCUUUAGGAAGUUUAUCAGGACACCAGGUGGCUGACUCUCCAGAGACCUUACAAAUGUAGGAGACACAUACACAAAUAAUGAAAAAGGGCUGUUGGGAUAAAAGGUCAUUUUGUUUCCAUCAAGCUCAAGGAGGGUUGGCGAGGGAGGGGCUCUUACCACACAGUGGUGUUAAUGUAAAAGAAAUUAUUUGAGGUUGAGUAUAGGGGAUUGCUUAGGGCAAUGAAACUAUUCUGUAUGCUCUAUGUAUGCAAUACAUAUGUGGUUACAUGACAUUAUGCAUUUAGCAAAACUCACAGAACUGUAUACAGAGUGAACCCUAAUGCAAACUACGGACUUUAGUUAAUAAUAAUGUGUAAAUAUUGGCUGAGCAAUUCUAACAAAUGUACCAUAACAAUGCAAGUUGUUAAUAAUAGAAGAAAUGGAAGUAGAGGAAGAAGAAGCAUACAGGAACUCUCUGUACUUUCCACUCAACUCUUCUAUAAAUUUAAAAGUGCUCUAAAAAGUAAAGUCUAUUAAUGUAAAAAAAGAUAUUUUAAGAAUAAAAAAAGAAAGAAUUUGUUAGCUAAUAAAAUAUAGAAGUCAUAGGAUCACACAUAUUAAAUCAUGCAUGUGAAAGAAAAUUAUUAACUGGCAGAUAAAUCUUCUAAGUAAUUUUAUAACUUUUGGGAAUACAGAGAUAGGACUUUCCAUGGUAUCACCAGGACAAGAAAUUAUCAAGACAGAUACUGAGGUACAGAUACAGAUACUGCCAAGACACGGCAACAAUUUUUAAACUUUUAGGAAUCUAACAAUUCCCCUUUGUUAAAAAUAACACUUCCAAGGACAAAAUUAUAUUAAACAGAGAAGAGAACAAGUUAGCGAAAGUUCUGAAUCACUCAUCUUCUUAUUGCAAAGAACUGGACUGAAAUUCUUGUGAAAGUUCUCAGUUUAACUCUUCAUUUAACCAGACUGCUUGUUUUAGAAUGUGGAAAGAAAUAAGCUGAAUUUUAGUCCCCCCGCUGGAUUCACAGGUUGAAGUCCUAAUGCCCAGUACCUCAGUCUGUGACUGUAUUUGGAGGUAGGGCCUUUAAAGAGAUAAUUAAAGUAAAAUGAAGUCAUAUGGGUGGAUCCUAAUUCAAUAUUUCUUGUGUCCUUAGAAGAAGAGGAGAUUAGGACACAGACAACACAAACUGAGGGAGAAUCAUGUGAGGACACAGCAGGAAGGUGGCCACCUGAAAGCCAAGGAGAAAGGCCUCGGAAGAAAGCAAACCUGCCGACACCUUGAUCUUGAACUUCUAGCCUCCAGAACUGUGAGAAAAUAAAUUUCUGUCGUUUAAGAUAUGCAGUCUGUGGUAUUCUGUUAUGGCAGCCCUAGCAGACUCAUACAGGAGGGAAGAGUGUAAAAAUCUUAGUGACCUACGACACACCGUGGAUUAAAUUAAUUUUGAGGUUUUCCCCAGCUCUCAUAAUCUUUUUCCCAUGUUUCUUUCUCUUUCAUUGUGAGUCUAUCUCCAGUGUCCAUGAACCAAAUCCAAACUCAUCCAAUACACCCCCACCCUCUAAGGCACAUUUUAGCAGCAUCCUUUCGCUCCUUUGACUGUUACUGAACUGGGUUUCUGGCAGAUAGUUCUAACUUGGUUCUAGUCUCAAUCCCACCCCAAAGUCAGAAGGCCACCCUCUGCUUACUUAUGGUGAGAUAGUGCCUCAGGGUUGGAGGGAAGACCUGGAAGGUUACUAACAUCAAGCUUAGGAAAGAGAGAAUAAAGGCUAUAGUAAAAAAAUAAAAUAAAAGAUCAUAUGCAAGGUGCAGUGUGCUACAGGAGCAAGACGUCACACAGUGCCAGUCACUGCCCAGGGCGUAUUUGUUCUCCAUCUUCCAAAGGAAAUAUCAGACAAGGCAGACAGCCUGAGCUUCCAUUUGGGGUUAAGUGAGGGAGGGGUAGUGGAGGACGGUGAGAAAGGGCAGAGUGUCUAAAAGGGUAGGCAGCUGCUGCAUCUUGCAGAAUGCACCUGGUUUGAAGAGAAGGCGAGAGCCAUAGGCUUCCAAACACUGUCACUCAUCUGCAAGCAGUUGGCUUGGGGCACAUUCAGCUUCCCAGCUAGAGUACUCCUGCCCAUUGGCAUUAGAGAAAGAUGGAGAGGACAAAUCCCUGUCAUCUCCUGGGCCCCAAGACUCCUGUCUCCUUUCAGGGCACCACACUAACUCACUUGUAUUUCUGAGUGGUAUAGAGGGGACUAUAAAUAAAAAUGUCUCAGACAAAUUUCUAUUGAGCACAUGCCCAAGCUUAUUAUCUUGCUAACAAGGGAACCUACAAGAUGAUAAAACCAUGGUUCUUCUAGCGAAGGUAUGAAAAUGGAGGAGUAACAGGGCUGGGAAAGCAAAUGCCUAUACAAGUGGCCUGUUUAAAAAAAAAAAAAACAAGAAAGAAAAGAAAACAGUUCAUUAGGUAAGGGUUGCUCUUUCUUUUCUUAAGGCCAUAAAAACAUCACAUUCAUAUCAGUCAUUUGAAGGAACCUGGAGCAAUGUGAUCUGAGAGACUAGGCUGGGCUAACCCUUAAAAAUAGUAAUAAUAAUAAUACACCUAAGAAGGAAAUCCUAAGGAUCUACCUGAGGAUGUUAGGUGGAAUAUCGAGACUGCUUUCCCAGAAAAGCGUGUGAUUGAUCCACUUAACAUGGAAGCAGGUUAUAUGUCAGAUGGAGGUUAUAGGCCACACACCAGGGCGCAAGGCUUGAUUUUAAACUGGUGCUUCCAGUGACUUUUCUCGAGCUACAAGGCAAUAGGCAGAAUCCACAGUUGGUCCAUUUCUUAACUUCGGGGUCUUUUUUUCCUUUUGACAGGUAGAACAAAAGGCCAAAGUGUUGGAAGACUCAGCCCUUCGACGUCCCCUUAAUGGGAGUUUCCCGAAGAAGGGCCUGCGAUCUGUGACCCCACCUCCCGGAUUCCGCCUUUCUCAGAGGUUCCCACUCGGAGCCCAGAGACAGAGACUGCAGUGACUCUGGAGACGGGAAGGCAAGGCGGGGCUGUCGGGGGCCGAGGUCCCUAAUCACGGCCAAGGCCGGACUGCACGAGGGUCCCAAGUACACGGAGGGCGGCGGGACU
rnacentral:lncRNA from 1 species